rnacentral:tRNA from 1 species
UCCCUGGUGGCUCAGACGGUAAAGCAUCUGCCUGCAAUGCGGGAGACCCAGGUUCAAUUCCUGGGUCGGGAA